GGACCUCCAGAAGAGCCAGAUAGCACUUGGCAAGGAUGCUGCGCAGAACGAUCCAACACAAAAUGAUUGUCUGUUUCUUUAUCUCUGCUUAAUCAGAUCAAGAUGAAGAAGAUUUUCCAGGAGAUUGGGACUUUUAUGACUCUAAUUUUACAGAUGAGGAAACUGGGGCACAGAAAGGAGAGAAGACAUUUCUGGGGUCAUUGGCUUGGGGAAGAAGCAGAUCCGGAUACAGAAACCUGAACUGUGGGGGAACCUGGGUGGCUCUUUCAGUUAAGUGACUGAUUUCUGCUCAGGUUAUGAUCUCACUGUUCAUGAGUU